AUUGAACGCUGGCGGAAUGCUUCACACAUGCAAGUCGAACGGCAGCACGGACUUCGGUCUGGUGGCGAGUGGCGAACGGGUGAGUAAUGUAUCGGAACGUGCCCAGUCGUGGGGGAUAACGUAGUGAAAAUUACGCUAAUACCGCAUACGAUCUAUGGAUGAAAGCGGGGGAUCGCAAGACCUCGCGCGAUUGGAGCGGCCGAUAUCAGAUUAGGUAGUUGGUGGGGUAAAGGCCCACCAAGCCAACGAUCUGUAGCUGGUCUGAGAGGACGACCGGCCGCACUGGAACUGAGACACGGUCCAGACUCCUACGGGAGGCAGCAGUGGGGAAUUUGGACAAUGGGCGAAAGCCUGAUCCAGCCAUUCCGCGUGCAGGAUGAAGGCCCUCGGGUUGUAAACUGCUUUUGUACAGAACGAAAAGGUUUCUACUAAUACUAGGAGCUCAUGACGGUACUGUAAGAAUAAGCACCAGCUAACUACGUGCCAGCCGCCGCGGUAA
rnacentral:rRNA from 1 species